rnacentral:rRNA from 1 species
CCUACGGGUGGCAGCAGUGAGGAAUAUUGGUCAAUGGACGAGAGUCUGAACCAGCCACGUAGCGUGAAGGAUGACUGCCCUAUGGGUUGUAAACUUCUUUUAUAUGGGAAUAAAACGUUCCACGUGUGGGAUUUUGUAUGUACCAUAUGAAUAAGGAUCGGCUAACUACGUGCCAGCAGCCGCGGUAAUACGGAGGAUCCGAGCGUUAUCCGGAUUUAUUGGGGUUAAAGGGAGCGUAGGUGGAUUGUUAAGUCAGUUGUGAAAGUUUGCGGCUCAACCGUAAAAUUGCAGUUGAAACUGGCAGUCUUGAGUACAGUAGAGGUGAGCGGAAUUCGUGGUGUAGCGGUGAAAUGCUCAGAUAUCACGAAGAACUCCGAUUGCGAAGGCAGUUCACUGGACUGCAACUGACACUGAGGCUCGAAAGUGUGGGUAUCAAACAGGAUUAGAUACCCGGGUAGUC